ensembl:lncRNA
GUAGAAGGAGGUAUAGGGAGGUAGAGGGGGUAGGGGGAGGUAGAGGAGGUAUAGGGAGGCAGUGGGAGUUAGGGGGAGGUAGAGGACGGUAGAGGAGGUAGAGGGAGGCAGUGGGAGUUAGGGGGAGGUAGAGGAAGGUAGAGGGAGGUAGAGAGAGGCAGUGGGAGGUAGGGGAGGUAGAGGGAGGUAGAGGUAGGUAGGGGGAGGUAGAAGGAGGUAUAGGGAGGUAGAGGGAGGGUAGGGGGAGGUAGAGGAAGGUAGAGGGAGGUAGAGGGAGGCAGUGGGAGUUAAGGGGAGGUAGAGGGAGGCAGUGGAAGGUAGAGGGAGGCAGUGGGAGUUAGGGGGAGGUAGAGGAAGGUAGAGGGAGGUAGAGGGAGGCAGUGGGAGUUAGGGGAGGUAGAGGAAGGUAGAGGGAGGUAGAGGGAGGCAGUGGGAGUUAGGGGAGGUAGAGGAAGGUAGAGGGAGGUAGAGGGAGGCAGUGGGAUGUAGAGGGAGGCAGUGGGAGUUAGGGGGAGGUAGAGGGAGGUAGGGGGAGGUAGAGGAAGGGUAGAGGGAGGUAGUGGGAGGUAGGGGGAGGUAGAGGGAGGUAGGGGGAGGUAGAGGGAGGUAGGGGGAG